rnacentral:rRNA from 1 species
AUACGUAGGGUGCAAGCGUUAAUCGGAAUUACUGGGCGUAAAGCGUGCGCAGGCGGAUUUGUUAGUCAGAGGUGAAAUCCCCGGGCUCAACCUGGGAACUGCCUUUGUUACUGCAAAGCUAGAGUACGGCAGAGGGGGGUGGAAUUCCUCGUGUAGCGGUGAAAUGCGUAGAUAUUCGGAAGAACACCGAUGGCGAAGGCAAUCCCCUGGGCCUGUACUGACGCUCAUGCACGAAAGCGUGGGGAGCAAACAGGAUUAGAUACCCUGGUAGUCCACGCCCUAAACGAUGUCAACUGGUUGUUGGGUCUUCAUUGACUCAGUAACGAAGCUAACGCGUUAAGUUGACCGCCUGGGGAGUACGGCCGCAAGGUUGAAACUCAAAUGAAUUGACGGGG